UAGAAACUGCACCAGCAAAGCAUGGGUAUGCAAACUUGGCUGGAAAUAUCUGGUGGGUGUGGGUUUGUUUUCAUAGGGCACUAUGGUGAGUCGCUGCCAGUCCCAAGUAAAUGUGUUAUAUGCAGAUAGAGGUUUAUGUUUCAUAGACCUUGGAGGGUCAGGAUAAUAAUGCAAAUGACAAAUGUAGACUAAUCUGCUUCAUGUUACUUGUGGUACUCUAAAUGUCAAUUUCUUCUCAGCUUGUUGUGCUUGUGUUUACAGUAAGCUUAUAAAGAUCAACUUAAAGUUUUGGAAUCAAUUCUUGACUUGUUAACAUACGCUUAAAAUGCAAUUGUUACAGAUUGUUGAACAAAUGUCAGCUGAGCAGAAAAAGAUUCUUCUCUUCUUUUGGACCUCAAUAAAACAUUUACCUAUUGAGGGUUUUGGUGGUUUGGCUUCUAAAUUAUACAUUUACAGGACUCUUGAGCCUAAUGAUCGCCUGCCUUCCUCUCAUACCUGCUUCUACCGAUUAUGUUUUCCACCAUACCCUUCUAUGCCCAUUAUGCAGGAUCGGCUUUCUCUCAUCACUCAAGAGCAUGUUGGUUGCAGCUUUGGCACGUGGUGAUAACUGGAAAUGCUAGGACUUUGAACUGCACAUAAAGAUCUUUAGCCAGCCUGUACAGAAUAUAGAAAUUCAUCUUUUUGUUCUCAUCUCAAGGUUUGGAACUUUGGAUGGAGGUGUUGUUCCAAUUCUGUCUACUUCCAGAAAGGUUGUAAUUUGGUGGUCUCCUCAUC
rnacentral:lncRNA from 1 species